UCAAAUCAGGUAGGAAUACCCGCUGAACUUAAGCAUAUCAAUAAGCGGAGGAAAAGAAACCAACCGGGAUUGCCUCAGUAACGGCGAGUGAAGCGGCAAAAGCUCAAAUUUGAAAUCUGGCGUCUUCGGCGUCCGAGUUGUAAUUUGAAGAAGGUAACUUUGGGGCUGGUCCUUGUCUAUGUUCCUUGGAACAGGACGUCAUAGAGGGUGAGAAUCCCGUGUGGCGAGGAUCCCAGUCCUUUGUAAAGUGCUUUCGACGAGUCGAGUUGUUUGGGAAUGCAGCUCUAAGUGGGUGGUAAAUUCCAUCUAAAGCUAAAUAUUGGCGAGAGACCGAUAGCGAACAAGUACAGUGAUGGAAAGAUGAAAAGAACUUUGAAAAGAGAGUGAAAAAGUACGUGAAAUUGUUGAAAGGGAAGGGCAUUUGAUCAGACAUGGCGUUUGCUUCGGCUUUCGCUGGGCCAGCAUCAGUUUUGGCGGUUGGAUAAAUCCUCGGGAAUGUGGCUCUACUUGUAGAGUGUUAUAGCCCGUGGGAAUACAGCCAGCUGGGACUGAGGACUGCGACUUUGUCAAGGAUGCGGCA
rnacentral:rRNA from 1 species